AGACUCCUACGGGAGGCAGCAGUGGGAAUUUUGGACAAUGGGCGCAAGCCUGAUCCAGCAAUGCCGCGUGCGGGAAGAAGGCCUUCGGGUUGUAAACCGCUUUUGUACGGAACGAAAAGGCUCUGGCUAAUACCUGGGGCUGAUGACGGUACCGUAAGAAUAAGCACCGGCUAACUACGUGCCAGCAGCCGCGGUAAUACGUAGGGUGCGAGCGUUAAUCGGAAUUACUGGGCGUAAAGCGUGCGCAGGCGGUCUUGUAAGACAGAGGUGAAAUCCCUGGGCUCAACCUAGGAAUGGCCUUUGUGACUGCAAGGCUGGAGUGCGGCAGAGGGGGAUGGAAUUCCGCGUGUAGCAGUGAAAUGCGUAGAUAUGCGGAGGAACACCGAUGGCGAAGGCAGUCCCCUGGGCCUGCACUGACGCUCAUGCACGAAAGCGUGGGGAGCAAACAGGAUUAGAUACCCUGGUAG
rnacentral:rRNA from 1 species